rnacentral:lncRNA from 1 species
AGGGGGUUUUUUAUGGGGUCGGGGGGGGUUGGGGUCAUAAGGGUUUUUUUGGGGGUCAUGGGGGGGGUUUGGGGGUCGGGGGGGUUGCGAUUUGGGGGUUUGAGGGGGGAUUUGGUGUCUUUGGGGGGGAUUUGGGGGUUUAUGGGGGGAUUUGGGGUCAGAGGGAUUUGGGGUCGGGGGAAUGUUUGGGGUGGGGGGGGAUAUUUGGAGUCAUUGGGGGGGAUUUGGGGUCAUUGGGGGGGUUUUGGGGUGUGUGGGGUUUUGGGGUGUCCCCCCCCCCCUGCUCCGCCCCCUGUUUUUGUAUGGGGCUGGGGUAAUAAAAGGGGUUUUGGGGUCUGAGCCCGGUGUCAUUGUUUUCGGGGGGGGCUUGGGGUGGCAGGGAUGGGGGGGGGGCUGUGGGGUGCUAUGGGGUGCCAUAGGGCGCUAUGGGGUGGGCACUAUGGGGUGCUGUGGGGUGCCAUAGGGUGUUAUGGGGCGGCCAUGGGAUGCUAUAGGGCGCUAUGUGGUAGUAUAGGGUGCCAUGGGGUGCUGCAAGGUGCUUUGGGGGGGGCUAUAGGGCCGCCAUGGGGCGCUAUGGGGUUGCUAUGGGGCGGCCAUAGGGCGCUAUGGGGCGGGCGCCUGGGCCCUGCCCCGCCCCUCCCGCGCAUGCGCCACGCCCCCCCGGGGGGCGGGGCCUCCUGAUCCUCCUCCCUCCCGAUUGGCCGCCGCCGCGCGUUCCCAUUGGCCGAGAGCGCCGGGGGCGGGGCUUCAGACCCGGAAGCGGCGCGAUGGCGCGGAGAGCGGGCCCCCCCCUGACCUUGACCCUGAGGGGGCUGCACCGGACCCGGAGCCUCCGGGGGGGGGAGGGGGGGGAGGAGGAGGAGCCCCCCCGGGGGAUGGUAAGGGGGGGAGGGGCGGGGGGGGGGGGGCAAAGGGUGGGGGAGGGGCAAAGGGUGGGGGAGGGGGGAAGUGGGGAAGGGGGAGGGGCACAGGGAGGGGGAGGGGCCUGGGGGUGGGGGAGGGGCAUUGAGGGGGGAGGGGGAAAACCGGAAGGAACCGGGGGGGGAGGGGCUCGGCGCGGUCGCGGUCACGGCGCCAGGGGGCGCUGGCCCCGCACUGCGGCCCUCAGGCCA